CGUGCUUAACACAUGCAAGUCGAACGGAAAGGCUCUGCUUUUGUGGGGUGCUCGAGUGGCGAACGGGUGAGUAACACGUGAGUAACCUGCCCUUGACUUUGGGAUAACUUCAGGAAACUGGGGCUAAUACCGGAUAGGAGCUCCUGCUGCAUGGUGGGGGUUGGAAAGUUUCGGCGGUUGGGGAUGGACUCGCGGCUUAUCAGCUUGUUGGUGGGGUAGUGGCUUACCAAGGCUUUGACGGGUAGCCGGCCUGAGAGGGUGACCGGCCACAUUGGGACUGAGAUACGGCCCAGACUCCUACGGGAGGCAGCAGUGGGGAAUAUUGCACAAUGGGCGGAAGCCUGAUGCAGCAACGCCGCGUGCGGGAUGACGGCCUUCGGGUUGUAAACCGCUUUCGCCUGUGACGAAGCGUGAGUGACGGUAAUGGGUAAAGAAGCACCGGCUAACUACGUGCCAGCAGCCGCGGUGAUACGUAGGGUGCGAGCGUUGUCCGGAUUUAUUGGGCGUAAAGGGCUCGUAGGUGGUUGAUCGCGUCGGAAGUGUAAUCUUGGGGCUUAACCCUGAGCGUGCUUUCGAUACGGGUUGACUUGAGGAAGGUAGGGGAGAAUGGAAUUCCUGGUGGAGCGGUGGAAUGCGCAGAUAUCAGGAGGAACACCAGUGGCGAAGGCGGUUCUCUGGGCCUUUCCUGACGCUGAGGAGCGAAAGCGUGGGGAGCGAACAGGCUUAGAUACCCUGGUAGUCCACGCUGUAAACGGUGGGUACUAGGUGUGGGGUCCAUUCCACGGGUUCCGUGCCGUAGCUAACGCUUUAAGUACCCCGCCUGGGGAGUACGGCCGCAAGGCUAAAACUCAAAGGAAUUGACGGGGCCCCGCACAAGCGGCGGAGCAUGCGGAUUAAUUCGAUGCAACGCGUAGAACCUUACCUGGGUUUGACAUGGAUCGGGAGUGCUCAGAGAUGGGUGUGCCUCUUUUGGGGUCGGUUCACAGGUGGUGCAUGGCUGUCGUCAGCUCGUGUCGUGAGAUGUUGGGUUAAGUCCCGCAACGAGCGCAACCCUUGUUCACUGUUGCCAGCACGUUAUGGUGGGGACUCAGUGGAGACCGCCGGGGUCAACUCGGAGGAAGGUGGGGAUGACGUCGAGUCAUCAUGCCCCUUAUGUCCAGGGCUUCACGCAUGCUACAAUGGCUGGUACAGAGAGUGGCGAGCCUGUGAGGGUGAGCGAAUCUCGGAAAGCCGGUCUCAGUUCGGAUUGGGGUCUGCAACUCGACCUCAUGAAGUCGGAGUCGCUAGUAAUCGCAGAUCAGCAACGCUGCGGUGAAUACGUUCCCGGGGCUUGUACACACCGCCCGUCAAGUCAUGAAAGUUGGUAACACCCGAAGCCGGUGGCCUAACCGUUGUGGGGGAGCCGUCGAAGGUGGGACUGGUGAUU
rnacentral:rRNA from 1 species